GACGAACGCUGGCGGCGUGCUUAACACAUGCAAGUCGAACGAUGAACCUUCCAUGAUCUAUUCGUAGAGAUUGGGAGCGGAUGAGUGGCGAAUGGGUGAGUAACGCGUGAGCAACCUGCCUUAAACAACGGGAUAGCCUCGGGAAACCGGGAUUAAUACCGUAUGAGACCCCGCCUUCACAUGAAGAAGAGGUUAAAGAUUUAUCGGUUUAAGAUGGGCUCGCGUCUGAUUAGCUAGUUGGUGAGAUAAAAGCCCACCAAGGCAACGAACAGUAACCGGCUUGAGAGAGUGAACGGUCACAUUGGAACUGAGACACGGUCCAAACUCCUACGGGAGGCAGCAGUGGGGAAUAUUGCACAAUGGGGGAAACCUUGAUGCAGCGACGCCGCGUGAGCGAUGAAGGAAUUCGUUUCGUAAAGCUCUGUCAUAGGGGAAGAUAAUGACAGUACCCUUGGAGGAAGCCCCGGCUAAAUACGUGCCAGCCGCCGCGGUAA
rnacentral:rRNA from 1 species